UUCAGAUCACACAUCAGAAUAGGGGGGAAAUGUGAUCUCAGGGACUAACUGUGGAAGGGUUGUUGGUGCCAGGGAGGCGAUUGUGAGUUGUGAGGGAAAUUACUAAUUUUUAUUUUGUAAUAGUUUUUUUCUUGUUCUUUUUCUGUUCAUCUGAGGAUAACGCCUAAGAAGGCCAUGUCAUGUGACUUAGAUUAGUACAGAAUGUUUAUCUGCUUACAGAGACACAAACAUGUUCUUCCGUUUAAGGUUCGUCUGCACAUCUUCUAAGACCCCUAAAACAAAGCCUGUUUGAAUUGCCUGAAACUGCUUCUUAUCGGUACACAGAAGGGACUAGUCUGCAAGUGUUGUCUAAUUUCUACGACAAUUUGGCGUCUCCUGGAUCGGCUGCGCGAGUCUUUUCAGCUUUUCUGGACAACAAGCAAAAGCGGAGGACGCUCAUGGAAAAGUUUCACCCUAAAGUCCCUGUUGACACGAAGGCGAUUUGUCCUUUGUUGUGAAGAGCAAAAGACUGAUGCAGCCUUACCACUGAUUGCCCCACAUGAAUUUAUGGAGAUACUAGAGAUCCAGAUCCUUUCUGCCUCUGGAUGGAGCUCAAAUCUUCUCUAAUUCCAGACUGCUGGGACUAUGGCUGCUCCUAAGGCCAUACAGACUUCAUAUAAAUCCAUAAUGAACUUUUUCACACUAUCUGUUGUUACCCAGAUGAGGAUGGGUUCCCUUCUGAGUCGGGUUCCUCUCAAGGUUUCUUCCUCUUAAAACAUCUUAGGGAGUUUUUCCUUGCCACCGUCGCCACUCAGUGGCUUGCUCAGUUGGGAUAAAUUCGCACCUUUAAUAUCUGUAUACCAUGUUGAUAUUUCUGUAAAGCUGCUUUGAGACAAUGUCUAUUGUAAAAAUCGCUAUACAAAUAAAAUUGAAUUGAAUUGAAUUGAAUUGAAUUGAUAACCUAUGUGCAGUUGAUUCAAUUAGCACUUUUAAAAA